GGACGAACGCUGGCGGCGCGCCUAACACAUGCAAGUCGAACGAGAGAGAGGAAGCUUGCUUCCUCAAUCGAGUGGCGAACGGGUGAGUAACGCGUGAGGAACCUGCCUCAAAGAGGGGGACAACAGUUGAAACGACUGCUAAUACCGCAUAAGCCCACGACCCGGCAUCGGGGUUGAGGGAAAAGGAGCAAUCCGCUUUGAGAUGGCCUCGCGUCCGAUUAGCUAGUUGGUGAGGUAACGGCCCACCAAGGCGACGAUCGGUAGCCGGACUGAGAGGUUGAACGGCCACAUUGGGACUGAGGCACGGCCCAGACUCCUACGGGAGGCAGCAGUGGGGAAUAUUGCACAAUGGGGGAAACCCUGAUGCAGCGACGCCGCGUGGAGGAAGAAGGUCUUCGGAUUGUAAACUCCUGUUGUUGAGGAAGAUAGUGACGGUACUCAACAAGGAAGUGACGGCUAACUACGUGCCAGCAGCCGCGGUAAAACGUAGGUCACAAGCGUUGUCCGGAAUUACUGGGUGUAAAGGGAGCGCAGGCGGGAAGACAAGUUGGAAGUGAAAUCCAUGGGCUCAACCCAUGAACUGCUUUCAAAACUGUUUUUCUUGAGUAGUGCAGAGGUAGGCGGAAUUCCCGGUGUAGCGGUGGAAUGCGUAGAUAUCGGGAGGAACACCAGUGGCGAAGGCGGCCUACUGGGCACCAACUGACGCUGAGGCUCGAAAGUGUGGGUAGCAAACAGGAUUAGAUACCCUGGUAGUCCACACCGUAAACGAUGAUUACUAGGUGUUGGAGGAUUGACCCCUUCAGUGCCGCAGUUAACACAAUAAGUAAUCCACCUGGGGAGUACGACCGCAAGGUUGAAACUCAAAUGAAUUGACGG
rnacentral:rRNA from 1 species